GACUAACCAAAAAGCUAACCUCAUCUAGAUACCAGUCUCUAUAGAGAGACAGAGGGAGAAGCAGCAGUUACAUUCAUACCUUCAACUUUCGAACCCAGAGGACAGAGAACAGUCAGGAACAAGGGAUUGAGAGCAGUUUACCCCUGCUCAAGAUCCAUCCUCUCCAACCAAGAGAGGAGGGAAACCAUCCAAGAUGGCGGAGGUUAGCCAACAGAGGAAAGAUGGUCUUCUUCAACCUGGUCCAUCCAGACUUCACCCAGAGGCAGGACCCAAUGUGAGAACAUCCACCCAGCCAUCCAUCGCCUCUCCCACUCUUCCUUCCAAAGAGGCACUGUCAGCAUUGUACCAACAGCGACAGAAAGUUGAGCUGCGGAGGCUCCUGAAGCACACCCACCCGGAGCUGAGGAGCCUGGAAAGCCUGGACGGGGUGGUGGAUCAGGAGCUGGCUGAGGUGCUGCGUUUAGAAACCCAGCCGAUAGCUGACGAGACCGGAUACGAGGGAGAGGUCCUGUCCAGGCGGUUGAUAUUUGAGAACUGUGUACAGAGCAAUACUGUGCAUCCCCACACUUCUAAAAUGCACAUCACGGAGGGGGCCGGGGUUGGA